GGCGCUCCUCGAGAGCGUCCGGUGCCGAAGGGAAGCCAUUAAGCUCACCGCCUGGGAAGUACGGUCGCAAGACUGAAACUUAAAGAAAUUGGCGGGGGAGCACCACAAGGGGUGGAGCCAGCGGUUUAAUUGGAUUCAACGCCGGACAUCUCACCGGGGGCGACGGCAGAAUGAAGGCCAAGUUGACGACUUUGCCGGACUCGCCGAGAGGUGGUGCAUGGCCGCCGUCAGCUCGUAUCGUGAGACGUCCUGUCAAGUCAGGUAACGAGCGAGACCCUCGCCCUUAGUUACCAUCGGAUUCCGCAAGGGAUGCCGGGAACUCUAAGGGGACCGCUAUCGAUAAGACAGAGGAGGGAGAGGGCGACGGUAGGUCCGUAUGCCCCGAAUCCCCCGGGCAACACGUGGGCUACAAUGCGUAGGGCAGAGGGCUGCGACCCCGAAAGGGGGAGCUAAUCCCUAAACCUGCGCCUAGUUCGGAUCGAGGGCUGCAACCCGCCCUCGUGAAGCUGGAAUCCCUAGUAAUCGUGUGUCAUUAUCGCGCGGUGAAUGCGUCCCUGCUCCUUGCACACUCCA
rnacentral:rRNA from 1 species